UACGUAGGGUGCAAGCGUUGUCCGGAAUUAUUGGGCGUAAAGAGCUUGUAGGUGGUUUGUCGCGUCUGCUGUGAAAAUCCGAGGCUCAACCUCGGACUUGCAGUGGGUACGGGCAGACUAGAGUGUGGUAGGGGAGACUGGAAUUCCUGGUGUAGCGGUGAAAUGCGCAGAUAUCAGGAGGAACACCGGUGGCGAAGGCGGGUCUCUGGGCCGAUAACUGACGC
rnacentral:rRNA from 1 species